rnacentral:rRNA from 1 species
CCUACGGGGGGCUGCAGUGGGGAAUAUUGGACAAUGGGGGCAACCCUGAUCCAGCCAUGCCGCGUGUGUGAAGAAGGCCCUCGGGUUGUAAAGCACUUUCAGUGAGGAAGGACGCCUGGUGGUUAAUACCCAUCAGGAAAGACAUCACUCACAGAAGAAGCACCGGCUAACUCCGUGCCAGCAGCCGCGGUAAUACGGAGGGUGCGAGCGUUAAUCGGAAUUACUGGGCGUAAAGCGCGCGUAGGUGGCUUGAUAAGCCGGUUGUGAAAGCCCCGGGCUCAACCUGGGAACGGCAUCCGGAACUGUCAAGCUAGAGUGCAGGAGAGGAAGGUAGAAUUCCCGGUGUAGCGGUGAAAUGCGUAGAGAUCGGGAGGAAUACCAGUGGCGAAGGCGGCCUUCUGGACUGACACUGACACUGAGGUGCGAAAGCGUGGGUAGCAAACAGGAUUAGAUACCCCUGUAGUC